GAUUAACGCUGGCGGCGUGCAUAACACAUGCAAGUCGAACGAAGUGGCGGACGGGUGAGUAACGCGUGAGUAACCUGCCUUAGAGAAGGGGAUAGCCUUUGGAAACGAAGAAUAAUACCCUAUGCUCUAAGAUGGACUUGCGUCUGAUUGGUUAGUUGGUGGGGUAACGGCCUACCAAGACAGCGCUCAGACGCCGGCUUGCUAGAGUGGACGGCCACAUUGGGACUGAGACACGGCCCAGACUCUACGGGAGGCAGCAGUGGAGAAUUUUGCACAAUGGGGGAAACCAUGAUGCAGCGACGCCGCGUGAUUUAGAAGGCCUUCGGGUUGUAAAAAUCUUUUCUAUGGGAAGCAGUACCAUAAGAAUAAGGUCCGGCUAAAUACGUGCCAGCAGCCGCGGUAAUUC
rnacentral:rRNA from 1 species